UUGGUGCUUGCACCAAAUGAAACUAGAUACAAGCGAGCGGCGGACGGGUGAGUAACACGUGGGUAACCUGCCCAAGAGACUGGGAUAACACCUGGAAACAGAUGCUAAUACCGGAUAACAACACUAGACGCAUGUCUAGAGUUUAAAAGAUGGUUCUGCUAUCACUCUUGGAUGGACCUGCGGUGCAUUAGCUAGUUGGUAAGGUAACGGCUUACCAAGGCAAUGAUGCAUAGCCGAGUCGAGAGACUGAUCGGCCACAUUGGGACUGAGACACGGCCCAAACUCCUACGGGAGGCAGCAGUAGGGAAUCUUCCACAAUGGACGCAAGUCUGAUGGAGCAACGCCGCGUGAGUGAAGAAGGGUUUCGGCUCGUAAAGCUCUGUUGGUAGUGAAGAAAGAUAGAGGUAGUAACUGGCCUUUAUUUGACGGUAAUUACUUAGAAAGUCACGGCUAACUACGUGCCAGCAGCCGCGGUAAUACGUAGGUGGCAAGCGUUGUCCGGAUUUAUUGGGCGUAAAGCGAGUGCAGGCGGUUCAAUAAGUCUGAUGUGAAAGCCUUCGGCUCAACCGGAGAAUUGCAUCAGAAACUGUUGAACUUGAGUGCAGAAGAGGAGAGUGGAACUCCAUGUGUAGCGGUGGAAUGCGUAGAUAUAUGGAAGAACACCAGUGGCGAAGGCGGCUCUCUGGUCUGCAACU
rnacentral:rRNA from 1 species